rnacentral:lncRNA from 1 species
CUUGCCUGUGUGUGCUGCUUCAGAGCUUGCAAAACACCUUCACUUCCGUGAUCUCACCUAAGCCUCCCCCACGUGACCCUGUGGAAUUCUCAUUGCCAGAUGUGCAGCUUCAGAAAGAUGAGCUUGACAGACAAAAUCCCAAGCGCAUUAACGCAGUCUCCCAUUUGCCUUCGAGAACACCCCUGAUCCAGACAAAAAAGAGCAUUUCCUCCGGCAGCAGUGAGUUUGAGGAUCUGAAUGCAUAUGCUUCCCAAAGAAAUUUUUACAAGAGAAACUUAAACCGCUACUGCCAGGAGCGCUGGCCAUUCCAGCCAUGCCUCACUGGGAGGCCCUGAGCAUUCUAGCCGGCGGCUGCACAGCUGCUGGGGCAUCUCCAUGAGGAAGAGGGCGGUGGACAGGAGUCAUGAAGACUAAUUCGGAAACUCCCCUGAAGGAGGAGAAGACGUCUGAGCCAUCCUUGUGCCACCAAGCAAGAGUCACUCCAGCUCCUAAAAAGCCACCAUGGGAAGAGAUGCCUCCAAUUAAAGUUCUUGAUUGCAC